GUUUGAUCCUGGCUCAGGAUGAACGCUAGCUACAGGCUUAACACAUGCAAGUCGAGGGGAAACGAUAUUGAAAGCUUGCUUUCGAUAGGCGUCGACCGGCGCACGGGUGAGUAACGCGUAUCCAACCUGCCCAUAACUAAGGGAUAAUCCGUAGAAAUGCGGUCUAAUACCUUAUGUGAUCCGAGGAAGACAUCUGAUUUGGAUUAAAGAUUUAUCGGUUAUGGAUGGGGAUGCGUCUGAUUAGAUUGUUGGCGGGGCAACGGCCCACCAAGUCUGCGAUCAGUAGGGGUUCUGAGAGGAAGGUCCCCCACAUUGGAACUGAGACACGGUCCAAACUCCUACGGGAGGCAGCAGUGAGGAAUAUUGGUCAAUGGGCGGGAGCCUGAACCAGCCAAGUAGCGUGCAGGAUGACGGCCCUAUGGGUUGUAAACUGCUUUUGUAUGGGGAUAAAUUGCUCCACGUGUGGAGUAUUGCAGGUACCAUACGAAUAAGGACCGGCUAAUUCCGUGCCAGCAGCCGCGGUAAUACGGAAGGUCCGGGCGUUAUCCGGAUUUAUUGGGUUUAAAGGGAGCGUAGGCCGUGGAUUAAGUGUGUUGUGAAAUGUAGGCGCUCAACGUCUGACUUGCAGCGCAUACUGGUCCACUAGAGUGCGCGCAACGCGGGCGGAAUUUGUCGUGUAGCGG
rnacentral:rRNA from 1 species